rnacentral:rRNA from 1 species
ACGCUCGACACCUACGGCAGGCAGCAGUGGGGGAUAUUGCACAAUGGGGGAAACCCUGAUGCAGCAACGCCGCGUGAAGGAAGAAGGCCUUCGGGUUGUAAACUUCUGUCGUACGGGACGAUAGUGACGGUACCGUACAAGAAAGCCACGGCUAACUACGUGCCCGCAGCCGCGUAAUCUGAGCGGGCGUGGCAAGGC